rnacentral:rRNA from 1 species
AGCGAACGCUGGCGGCAGGCCUAACACAUGCAAGUCGAACGAACUCUUCGGAGUUAGUGGCGGACGGGUGAGUAACACGUGGGAACGUGCCUUUUGGUUCGGAAUAACUCAGGGAAACUUGUGCUAAUACCGAAUGUGCCCUUCGGGGGAAAGAUUUAUCGCCAUUAGAGCGGCCCGCGUCUGAUUAGCUAGUUGGUGAGGUAACGGCUCACCAAGGCGACGAUCAGUAGCUGGUCUGAGAGGGUGACCAGCCACACUGGGACUGAGACACGGCCCAGGCUCCUACGGGAGGCAGCAGUGGGGAAUCUUGCGCAAUGGGCGAAAGCCUGACGCAGCCAUGCCGCGUGAAUGAUGAAGGUCUUAGGAUUGUAAAAUUCUUUCACCGGGGACGAUAAUGACGGUACCCGGAGAAGAAGCCCCGGCUAACUUCGUG